CAAAAUGCUAACAGUGACAUGGACAAUGAAGUCCAGGCUGACAUGGUCUCAGAGGGACACGAAGAACUUGUUGAAAACUGGAGUAAAGGUGACUCUUGCUAUGCUUUAGCAAAGAGACUGUUGGCAUUUUGUCCUGCCCUAGAAAUCUGUGGAACUUUGAACUUGAGAGAGAUAAUUUAGAAUGUCUGGCAGAAGAAAUUUAUAAGCAGCAAAGCAUUUAAGAGGAAGCAGAGCAUAAAAGUUUGGAAGAUUUGCAGCUUGAUGAUGUGAUAGAAAAGAAAAACCCAUUUUCUGGGGAGAAAUUCAAGCCAGCUGCAUAAAUUUGCAUAAGUAAUGAGGAUCCCAAUGUUAAUUGCCAAGACAACGGGGAAAAUGCUUCUAGGCAUGUCAGAGACCUUCAUGACAGCCCCUCCCACCACAGACUCGGAGACCUAGGAGGGAAAAAUUGUUUCUUGGGCUGUGUCCAGAGUCCCCCUGAUCUGUGCAGCCUCAGGACAUGGUGCCCUGUGUCCCAACUGCUCCAGCCAUGGCUAAAAUGGGCCAAGGUACAGCUCAGGCCAUUGCCUCAGAGGGUGCAAGCCCCAAGCCUUGGCAUCUUCCAUGUGGUGUUAGGCCUGUUGGUACACAGAAGACAAGAAUUGAGGUUAGGGAACCUCCACCUAGAUUUCAGAGGAUGUAUGGGAAUGCCUGAAUGUCCAGGCAAAAGUCUGUUGCAGGGGCAGAGCCCUCAGGGUAAACCUCUGCUAGGGCAGUGUGGAAGGGAAAUGUGGGGUUGGAGCCCUCAGAGUCCCCACUGGGGCACUGCUUACUGGAGUUGUGAGAAAGGGCCACCAUUCUCCAGACCCCAGAAUUAUAGACCGACUGACAGCUUGCACUGUGAGUUUGGAAAAGCCAUGGACACUCAACACCAAACAUAAAAGCAGCCAGGAUGGGGACUGCACCUUGCAAAGCCACAGGUGUGGAGCUUCCCAAGGCUGUGGGAGCCCACUACUUGCAUCAGUGUGACCUGGAUGCGAGACAUGGAGACAAAGGAGAUUUUGGAACCGUAAGUUUUAAUGACUGCCUUAUUGGAUUUUGGACUUGUAUGGGACCUGUAGCCCAUCAGUUUGGGCCAAUUUCUCCCAUUUGGAAUGAGUGUAUUUACCCAAUGCCUGUAUCCCCAUUGUAUCUAGGAAGUAACUAACUUGCUUUCAAUUUUACAGGUGCAUAGGUGGAACGGACUUGCCUUUGUCACAGAUGAGACUUUGGACUGGGACUUUUGGGUUAAUGCUAGAAUGAGCUAAGACUUUGGGGAACUGUUGGAAAGACAUGAUUGUGUUUUGAAAUGUGAGGACAUGAAAUUUGGGAGGGGCCAGGGGCAGAAUGAUACUGUUUGGCUGUGUCCCCACCAAAAUUUUGUCUUGAAUUCUAGUUGCCAUAAUCUCCACAUGUUGUGGGAGGGACCUGAUGGGAGGUAAUUGAAUCACGGGGGUGGGGAGUUAUCCCCAUGCUAUUUUGAGUGAGUUCUCACAAGAUCUGAUGGCUUUAUAAGGGGCUUUCCCCCCUUUUCCCAGCACUACUCUCUCCUGCCUCCAUGUGAAGAAGGAAGUGUUUGCUUCUCCUUCCACCACGAUUGUACAUUUCCUGAGUCCUCCCCAGCCAUGUGGAACUGUGAGUCAAUUGAACCUCUUUAUAAAUUAAUCAGUCUCAGUUAUUUCUUCAUAGCAUCACAAGCAUAGUGUCUGAAAGGACAACCAGUUUGCAGCACAAGAGGUACAAAAAUGAGCCUAAAACUGAAUACUUAUUUCAAAUAUUCAAAACGACUAUUUCCAGUAGAAAUUUCUCUCUUUAUCUUUCAGAUAUGUCCUGAGAGUUUCUGAAGUUAUUUAACUGGUUCAAUGAGAAUUUAAUCAAGGUCUGCUUUAUAUCAAAAUUUAUGAUUUUUAUUCAAUGCCAUACAUAGAAUUUGUUCACAGUUAUCAUCAAACACACUCAUACGGUUCCCCAGGGCAUGUUCACUGACAUCAAGGUGCAGAACUUACUUUAAGUAGCACUACGUAUGAGGGCUGUACAUCUCACAAACAAAACAGAAAGACAAUAACUUUAGUAAAAAGAUGGAUACCAUUCAAGCCCAAGGAAAACCAAUGCUUCUUUUCAUCUAUGGACUCAAGUCUCAGAAAGCAGAGAAGUGAGUGUACCAAGUGCAACAAACGUUUGAGCAUUGUUCUGCUGCCAAUAUUGAAGACAGCCACUGCUUUGAAGUGUGGGGAGGAGAGCUAGAGCAUAUUUGCCUGCCACAGUUAGUUUUGUGUUUCCAUGGAAUUUGAGCAAAACUGAUGCACUUGUCUCCCAGGAUUAAUCCAUACAAGUCACCUCUAAAAUUAUCUUUUCCCAUUCGUUGACUGAGCAAAAUGGACUUCAAGGACCUAAAGGAGGUUAAAUACCACAAGAUGGAGGAGCUUGAGUCUCUGAAUCAUUGUGUGUGAAGUCAUCUGCCAAUUACAUAAAUUGAAUUCUUGGAACUCCGGAGUUUCAACUACCAGAGACUGAAGGCAGGAGAGAAAAACUAAGACAAAUGACUUCAAAGCCUUUCUGAAAUGCCACAGAGGGUCAGGAUUACAAUCUGCCUAUUCUGAUUCUUCUACUAUGGGAAAAAAUCUUUUUCAGAAUUGAUGUAAAGCCUCUGUUAAUACUUUUCCUGUUAACAACCUAACUAUUCAACUGCUGAAUAAAAACCAUUAGGACAACUAAAGAAACUGAGAGAUUUUGGCAAGAAAUAGUCAUUCCAAUAUCAAUGACUACGGAGGAAAUGCAAUUACUUUUCUUUGCUUAAGUUUUCCAGGGCCUUUCUCUGUUGCCCAGGCUGGAGUGCAGUGAGGCAAUCUUGGCUCACCACAAUCUCUCCCUCCUGGAUUCAAGCAAUUCUCCUGCCUCAGCCUCCCGAGUAGCUGGGAUUACAGGCAUGCACCACUACACCCGGAUAAUUUUUGUAUUUUUAGUAGAGAUGGGGUUUUACCAUGUUGGCCAGGCUGGUCUUGAACUCCUGACCUCGUGAUCAGCCUGCCUCGGCCUCCUAAAGUGCUGGGAUUACAUGCAUGAGCCACUGUGCCCUGCCAACUUGUUAAAUUUUUAAUCAUUCUGCUCACCUUUUGCAACCUUACUGACUUUUGUGUCUACCUUAUCUAGCAGUGGCUGAAAUUUCCUUCUAUGAUUAUAGAUUUGUCUGUUAUUUCUUAUAGAUUUCUCAAUAUUGCUUGUAUUAUUAUUUUAAGUUAAUACCAUUAGGCAUAAAAAUUCAAAAUUGUUAUCGCU
rnacentral:lncRNA from 1 species